GAUGAACGCUGGCGGCGUGCCUAAUACAUGCAAGUCGAGCGAACAGACGAGGAGCUUGCUCCUCUGACGUUAGCGGCGGACGGGUGAGUAACACGUGGAUAACCUACCUAUAAGACUGGGAUAACUUCGGGAAACCGGAGCUAAUACCGGAUAACAUGUUGAACCGCAUGGUUCAACAGUGAAAGACGGUCUUGCUGUCACUUAUAGAUGGAUCCGCGCCGCAUUAGCUAGUUGGUAAGGUAACGGCUUACCAAGGCAACGAUGCGUAGCCGACCUGAGAGGGUGAUCGGCCACACUGGAACUGAGACACGGUCCAGACUCCUACGGGAGGCAGCAGUAGGGAAUCUUCCGCAAUGGGCGAAAGCCUGACGGAGCAACGCCGGGGGAGUGAAGAAGGUCUUCGGAUCGUAAAACGCUGUUAUUAGGGAAGAACAAAUGUGUAAGUAACUAUGCACGUCUUGACGGUACCUAAUCAGAAAGCCACGGCUAACUACGU
rnacentral:rRNA from 1 species